rfam:Erinaceus europaeus unplaced genomic scaffold scaffold00081, whole genome shotgun sequence
GGAUGUGAGGGCCAUCUGGCUUCGACAUGUCACCCCAUUGAUCGCCAGGGUUGAUUCGGCUGAUCUGGCUGGCUAGGCGGGUGUCCCCUUCCUCCCUCACCGCUCCAUGUGCAUCCCUCCAGAAGCUGCGCGCUCGGUCGAAGAGGACAGCCUUCCCCGAAUAGAGACGGACCCGUCUUCGGUCGAGGGUAUACGAGUAGCUGUGCUCCCCUGCUAGAACCUCCAAACAAGCUCUCAAGGAGGUUUUAUUAUUAUUAUUAUUAUUUUUAUUUAUAAAAAGGAAACACUGACAAAAACCAUAGGAUAAGAGGGGUACAACUCCACACAAUUCCCACCACCAGAACUCU